AUUGAACGCUGGCGGCAUGCUUUACACAUGCAAGUCGAACGGUAACAGGUUAAGCUGACGAGUGGCGAACGGGUGAGUAACGCAUCGGAACGUGCCCGAUCGUGGGGGAUAACGCAGCGAAAGCUGCGCUAAUACCGCAUAAGAUGCGAGGAUGAAAGCGGGGGACUUUAUAGCAAUAUGAAGCCUCGCGCGAUCGGAGCGGCCGAUGUCAGAUUAGGUAGUUGGCGGGGGAAAGGCCCACCAAGCCAACGAUCGGUAGCUGGUCCGAGAGGACGACCAGCCACACUGGAACUGAGACACGGUCCAGACUCCUACGGGAGGCAGCAGUGGGGAAUUUUGGACAAUGGGCGAAAGCCUGAUCCAGCCAUUCCGCGUGCAGGAUGAAGGCCCUCGGGUUGUAAACUGCUUUUGUACAGAACGAAAAGGUUUCUACUAAUACUAGGAGCUCAUGACGGUACUGUAAGAAUAAGCACCGGCUAACUACGUGCCAGCCGCCGCGGUAA
rnacentral:rRNA from 1 species